rnacentral:rRNA from 1 species
CCUACGGGGCGCUGCAGUGGGGAAUAUUGGACAAUGGGCGAAAGCCUGAUCCAGCCAUGCCGCGUGUGUGAAGAAGGCCUUCGGGUUGUAAAGCACUUUCAGUGGGGAAGAAAGCCUGUGGGCUAAUACCCUCGAGGAAGGACAUCACCCACAGAAGAAGCACCGGCUAACUCCGUGCCAGCAGCCGCGGUAAUACGGAGGGUGCGAGCGUUAAUCGGAAUUACUGGGCGUAAAGCGCGCGUAGGCGGUCUGAUAAGCCGGUUGUGAAAGCCCCGGGCUCAACCUGGGAACGGCAUCCGGAACUGUCAGGCUAGAGUGCAGGAGAGGAAGGUAGAAUUCCCGGUGUAGCGGUGAAAUGCGUAGAGAUCGGGAGGAAUACCAGUGGCGAAGGCGGCCUUCUGGACUGACACUGACGCUGAGGUGCGAAAGCGUGGGUAGCAAACAGGAUUAGAUACCCCGGUAGUC